GACGUAGGGGGCCAGCGUUGUUCGGAAUUACUGGGUGUAAAGGGUUCGUAGGCGGUGCGGCAAGUCGGGAGUGAAAUCUCUGGGCUUAACCCAGAGGCUGCUUCCGAAACUGCUGUGCUUGAGUGUGGGAGAGGCGCGUGGAAUUGCAGGUGUAGCGGUGAAAUGCGUAGAUAUCGGGAAGAACACCCGUGGCGAAGGCGGCUCUCUGGGACGGUACUGACGCUGAGACGCGAAAGCGUGGGGAGCGAACAGG
rnacentral:rRNA from 1 species